rnacentral:misc_RNA from 1 species
GAUGAAGAACGUAGUGAAAUGCGAUAAGUAAUGUGAAUUGCAGAAUUCAGUGAAUCAUCGAGUCUUUGAACGCACAUUGCGCCCCCUGGUAUUCCGGGGGGCAUACCUGUCCGAGCGUCAUUGCUGCCCUCAAGCACGGCUUGUGUGUUGGGCCCCCGUCCCCGGUUUCCCCCGGGGACGGGCCCGAAAGGCAGCGGCGGCACCGCGUCCGGUCCUCGAGCGUAUGGGGCUUUGUCACCCGCUCUGUAGGCCCGGCCGGCGCCAGCCGACACCCAACUUUAUUUCUAAGGUUGACCUCGGAUCAGGUAGGGAUACCCGCUGAACUUAAGCAUAUCAAUAAGCGGAGGA